ACACACCAUCUGUGCCCACAGAAACUGCAUGAACCUCCCUCCCUGAGGGACAGGACAUGGACAAGCGUGUGACACUGAUACAGUGCACGAGGCACUCGCAUUUCAAGCUCAUCAGCCUGGGAUAAGGACCUAAGCAGAACAGUAGAGGGGUUACGUUGACCUGAAAGAAAGAUCACUAUCAGCUGCCACGCAGUCGUCAGUGCUCAUAAGCCAGGCAAACACAAGCCAGGAGCCUGAGUUCCACUGCUCCCUUAGCUGGUCAUCUAAUGUGUGUCUGCCUCUUCCCCUCAGUGAAGUUUGGGAUGAAUUACUCACUUCCCCAUUCCUCCAGCCCAAGACUUGAAAAACUGGUUGAGUUCCAGCCCCACCCAGACACACUUGCUUCUAAAAUAUCUGUCAUCUAAUGUUCAACUCGCGCUCGCAGUUCUACCAGACUUGGCAGUGAUGGCAGUGGAGGAGAGGAGCAAGGAAGAAGCUGCUAAACUUUCUUCCAUUUAAAUUCAUGUUCAUGAUUUCAGUGGUGCAGCACAAGUAACCAUAAGCAAUGAAACAAUUUCUGUUUUCACAUAAAAAAUGUGAAGCAUCAAAAAAUAUUUUCAUUAAGAAUGGACUUCAAUAACUUGUCAGAGCAAUAAAACCAUUCUUAUAAAGAUCAGCUAUUACACUUUCCACGGGAAAAAAGAAGAAUAAUCUUAUUAAUCCUAAGUGACUUCUUCAAAUGAAACCAUAAAUGACUUAUUUCCUUCCAUUUUCCAGUGUAUAUUAUCAGUAAAGCGUUAAUGAAAUGAGACUCCAGUGAAAAUCCCUCAGAGGGCUUUUUUUCAAAUAAGGAUCAGUUUGGUUCAGCAUAGCAAACAUACGUGGUCAGAGGGAACAAAUUUGCAGGAAAUAAAUCUGCAGAAUGAAUAUCUCGGCAGUUAGAAGGAAAAGCUCAUAUGUUGUACAAUGUUUCCAUAUGAAAUGCAUUUGAAUACGAGCGGUUCUAUUUAGAGACGGACCUUUCAUCCAAGCAUGAAGAACUGUUUUUAAGAGUUCAUGUUUCUGCUAAAACUCCAUAAAGCCAGCAGCCCGCUCCCUGCAGUGCGGUGGGCCCCGCUUCUCAUGCACCUGGCUGGCUGCUCCUGGGCACAAAUCCCAGACGUGGUUCCUCAAGGAGAUAAAUUUCACUUGCCCAGCAGUUUGGGUUAGCAAAACUGAGCUUGAAUGGAGAGGGAGUGAAUUUCACUGUGUGUAAUGAGCCAGAAAAGGAAGAUGGAGGUUUACUGUGUUUUGGUUAUUUUCCGGCCCAACUCCACAGUGAAUGCAAGAGAGACUCCUGCAGUAGCUUCUGUUCCCAUCAGCAGUUCAAACAGCCUAAAUAUUCACAUCUGUGUAAUAACGGUGCAAAAAUUAAAAUCUACUUUAAAAAAAAAUUACACGGUGAAAGUCACAAGGGAGGGAGGCUUUUUGCCAGAAGGUUAUUUUCUCAUUAUUUAACAGAAUCUCAUUUUAAAUGCUGUGCAGUCCAUCUCUGAAUGAAAGCUCAUAAAAGGCACAAUCCUUUAGGAAUUAAACUUUUAUGAAACGCAUUUUACUGUUCUGAGUAAAGAACUGUUGCCAGUGUAACUCUCAAACCACACCCAAGCCUACCCAUGUCAGGUGAGUACACAGCAAAGAGAAGAAGCUGAGAAUAUCUACCAUAGAGAAGCACUGCCUACAGAGCAAAAGGACAAAUUCCCUCAGAAUUACAAACUCUCACCUCAACCAUGUAAGAUCAUCACCGCUGCUAGAUCUCCACUGAAUUAAUACAAUCCCUGAUACAGAGGGAAAAAAGGGUUCUGACACUAAAAAAAAAAAAAAAAAAAAAAAAGGAACAAAAACCUGUUUGCAAACUGAAUAAGAGUAUGAGAAAAUACCAACAAAAGACUCAGAAAACGAAAGCGACGUCAUUGUGUUUUAAAAUGGAAAUGUACGCACACCCCACCCAAAUGUCAGUAGAUUAAGACUGAGAGGGACAGAUAACACACUUUGUUUACCUGACAUGUUAUCAUGAAGAGAAUCCUUUACUUGGAACAGCAAACAUAGGGAAAAUCCUACCUGUUGGUCAUCAAGGAGGAAAAUACCCCAAAGAAUGCUUUUUUGUGGCACUGAGCUGUCAUUUUCCAACAAGUUCCCCUAAUAACCUUGGAAACUCUUUCCUAAAAAGCUGGUCACUCAUUCUGAGUUCCGAGUUUGCACUGCUGGAGCCACAUCCUGCCAUUACUGUAAAAUUUUAUUUCCAUCAAUACAAAGUCCUGACGUUUCCUCACGUAGCUGCUCAGAACCGUAAGAGCUGUAUUUCUACACCCAGAGCAAUCCUGAAUAACUGUCCCAAAUGACUUUGCACUUCCAAGAAACUGUCACUCACUGGUCACCCAUUUCCUCAGAAACUAGCUCUAGCUUCUCAAUGGAGAAACUUCCUCCUGUGUGAAGGCUGGCCAUUUGUUCUUCCCUUUUUGGCCUUUGCUUACCUAUGUCCAUUAACCCACCAGAAAUAAAAAAAGCAAUCCCUCUUACUCUGCAACAGCUCAAUAUCUGUAGGAACACACGCUGAAACACUUCGAGUGCCACAGUAAGUUGUUUUGUUGUUCUUGACACCUUAAGAAGCACAUAUGUAUGAUUUCUCUGGGUGAGAGCUGUCAUGCCUAUAUGAUUUGUUUCUUAUUACAGUAUUCCAUUUCCACCACAAUUCUGACAUAUUUUUAAUACCUAUGUUCUUAUUUAAAUCAGACUGUUUCAUGCACCUGAUGUUUACUUUUUUUUUUUAAAGAUCUGCAGCAUUUGAAUAUAGAAUGCAUCUACAUUUGCUACUUGUCCCGUCUGUUUUUAUGUACUGUGAUUAUCAGAGGCCAUUUGCUUCUUGUAUUGUUAUUCCCUCAUAAGUUUUAUUAUACUCUAUCAUUUUCAUUUCUGAAUUACAGUAUUUUCUUAUUCCUGGAUUACAAGAUUUUCAUCGUUCCACUGCCUUGUGAUCCAUCAAUCAGAUCUGAGUGGUAAAACAAAACAAAGUAUAAACCUCAGUGAUGUAUAAACGGGGACAGGCUGAGAGCUGGGGCUCUUCAGCCUGGAGAAGAGAAAGACUGGGGGGGAACCUCAUAGCAGCCUUCCAAUACCUGCAGGGGCCUAUGGGAUGGCUGGGGAGGGACACUUUAGAAGGGCAGGUAGCAACAGGAUGAGGGGAAAUGGCUUUAAACUGAAAGCUGGCAGAU